rnacentral:lncRNA from 1 species
GUGGUCUUGGAUGAAGUCUGUUUCGAGGUUUUUCGGGGUGAUCUCUGAGACCUCACGGUCGAUGAAGAUUUCGACCUAUCGGACACUUUUCUGAGUCUCUCAUCGUGAUAUCGGAGUGUAUUUUCUCCUCCUGAACAUUCUGGAAGAUUUUAUGAUGAUUUUGGUUGGUUGAUUUUGGGUGACCUAUCGGCUUCUAGGGUUUCUGGUGGUUUAACUUGAGGUUU